GAUGAGUGUUGGUGGCCAGUGUGCUGGCGUUCCGUAUGUUGAAGGGUUUGUGUGCAGUUACCAGUAAUUGAAUCACGGAAGCGUCUCUGGGUUUAACGCCGAAUGGGCGUGUAACUAGAACGAAUCUCGAUAUCCGCUGGGAACUCUCUCACUCUUGCGGCCAGACUGUGCUGGUGUUACAGGGUGUUUGUAUACUGUAAUUGCUGCCGUGUGCUUGGGCGGAUGGCCUAGCCAAACCCGUUGUUAUACCAGGUCCCGUGCGCCCCGUCAUACGUGUGCACUGGCUUCUG